rnacentral:rRNA from 1 species
UGACCUCAAAUCAGGUAGGAYUACCCGCUGAACUUAA